rnacentral:lncRNA from 1 species
AAGACUGCUAGGAGAAGAGUAGCUUCCAGGUUAUCCUGUGGGUGUAACGUUGCUGCCUCGAAGGAAACUCCAUAAGGUACACAGUUGUCAACACGUUAAGCCUCCCAGUGCCUUCAUCCAAAAACUGCAAUGUCCAGAGACGGCUGCUCAUCAAAAUUCAGAACUAGACUUGAUGCUAAUCUCCCUUUAUCGUGGCCAGUGAGUCAUGGGAUGAAUACGCCAGAGCCACCAGGGACACAGAGAGAGAUGAGGAGAAGCAGAAGCAGAGAUGGGGAGAGAACACAGGACGGGUACCGAGUGACGUCAUGCUCUGUGUGCACAGACCUUCCUCCAUGAACACUGAAUUUUUCAGAGAUUCCCACUAGCCUCCUUUCUGUAAAUCACUUGAUCCAG